GUCUUUUCCUCGCAUUCCAUUUUUUUCAUAUAGGUCCGACGACUCAUUCAUGCCCUUCUGUAUCAAAAAUAAAAAAUAUUUUUCAGGCUUCCCUCACUUCCAGACUAGUUUGUGUCUUGACCAUUUUCCCUCAUGAAUCGGCCGUUCAAGAAUCGAGCAGCCUUGACUCUUGCAAGACGUAUUUAUGUCCUGAUAACUGAACUCAUUGUCGCCGCCUUUCUUAUCGCCACUUGCCUCUUAUCGAUUUUUUCUGUCUAUAUCGCUUAUCUGGCUACUCACCCAUACUGGUAUGAUCCAGCGCCUGGAUCAGACGUCAUGAAACCAAUCGAUUACUAUAGCGAAACAUACAACGCUAGUAUCGCCGUAAACGAUCCAUACACGGAUUUUGGUUAUUCGUAUCAAAAUGUCUCAUUUUUCACGGCCAACCCGGCGGCCAAAACGUUAAUAUUAAGAGGGUGGUAUGUGCCUGGAGAGCGCCGGGAAGGGGCACCUGUGAUUGGAGUGGUAGGCGUUCAUGGAGGGGGCUACGACCGACGCGGAUUAUUAAAGCAUGUACCAGUUUUUCAUAAUUUGGGCUAUGACGUAAUUUUGUACGACUCCAGUCACCAUGGCAUUUCUGAUGGAAAUAACGCUGGUAUUGGAUUCGGACAGAGAGAACAUUUGGACUGCAUCGGAGCCGUCCGUUGGGCUAAAAAAGCCUAUAAUUGGGAAAAGGUAAUCGUAUUUGGAACGAGUGUUGGAGCGGCUAGUGCGAUUUUGGCAGCAGCAAAAGAGCCCCUAAUUGAUAUGGUCAUAGCCGAGAAUCCAUUUUAUUCGUCUUACAGUCUUUUCUUGCAUUUACUGGAAAAUUUGCUUCAAUCCAAGCAAGUCGAUGAAGUCAGCUUGAGAGAAGCGAGUCCUUUCCUCGCGAAAAUCAGAUUUUUUACCAAAGUUUUACCUAAAGGGAUCAUUGUGUUCAUGGCAAGAAUGAUUCAGUGGUAUAGUGGCACGUUCGGACGCGCUGAGCCAAUCGACGUGGUCGAAUAUUUAUCUCCUCGUCCUAUCCUGCUCAUCCACAGCAACCUUGACCAGCUUAUCCCCUCUUCGCAUUCCAGAACUUUAUACGAGCGCGCCAGGGAGCCCAAAUGGCUUUGGCUCACCGACGUCGGCAAGCAUGCUGAAAUCUACAAUUACUGUUCUAGAGAAUACGAAAAUAAGUUGAAGGAGUUCAUUUUCACUUAUUUGGAUUCUUCUAUAAACAAUUCCCGACCAGCAUAGAUCUCAGAUCGUGACCAACAAAAAGAUACGUGGAAGAGGAAAGAGUUCAGACAAAUUGAGCUUGUCAAAAAAAGAUUUGUCUAUCAGGUUGGAGUCCAGUCAAAAAAAAGAAGCAAGUGUGAAGUUCUGUAUUUACGACAUUUGGUGGCGCUGCGUGACAUUCGACGAUGUCCGGUGACGUUGUGUGGUGUUCAAUUGAAUCCGGCGAGUUUUUGUACUUAGAUUUAAUAUCCAUGUUUUGAUAUACAUUCGUCAAGUUGGCGAAGGGCCUAAGUUUGCUUAUUUGACCUUUUUCUUUCUUGCGUCGGUCAAGAGACGGAGGGUCGUGGGGGACGGAGAGUAAAAAAAAAAAAAAAAAAAUAUGAUAAGGAGCGUAGUAUAUUUUAGGCCACAGCACCUUUCGGAUUCAAACAGAAAGGCAGAGUGGGCUUCAGAGCGAGAAGGAAAAGUCCAAUUAGGCCGAGAUUAAAAGGAGGGGGUAUGUGUAGACGAGUGUCGAGAGGUGGCAUUAGCCAGGUUUAAAUGGCGAGGUAAGGCAGAAAUGACGUCGUAUGCGUGCUUGAGAGAGAGGGAGUGAAUACUAACAGAGAGGCAUAGGAAGAAGGUGAUUCAUUUUUCUCAGGACAAACGAAAGUGCACUGAAGCGGCGGCAGGAGCGAGCCCAGGCGACGCGCGCUUGCGAGAACGAGAGAGAUCAGAUGGAGGUGCCGAUACAGAGAGAGGCAGGAUCGAAGAAAGAAGGGGAGGAGUAUGAGGAGGUGGCGUUGAAUUUGGAUCGAGUGAGCCUGGAGAGGGACGAGUCAGAAAAGGAGUCUAUGUAUGAGAGGCAGAGGUGGAAUGGUUCGAGGUCAGUGCACACAUCGUCGACGAGGUCAGCAGAGCGAGGGAAUAGGUCUGCUGAAGGUGGGGUUGGGAGGCAGGUGAAGUCUCCGACUAGGAGACAGAUUACUGGUUCCGUAGAAGAAGAAGAAAGACCAGUUAAUGGAAGGUAUUCUGUUGCACCUGGAGCUCAUGGCUUCAAUGACACGAAGAGUCGGAUAUACGAAGGUCCAAACAAGUCUUAUUACCAUUAUUAUAUGUCUGAGGCAAUAAGGGUGCAAUUGUUACGUCGCGUUCUUUUAUCGCAAGGAGGUACUGACCCAGAGGAUCCGUUGGUUCAGGGUCUUCCUGGGUUCUUCCAUCGUUAUUACAGCCCGUAUCCAUUGGAAGAAUUAGGAAAAUACAACCUAUCUAAGGUGUUUUUCGUGCCCUCUUUUUACUAUAAGGCGUCUGAUGGGGUUCAAUUGUAUGCCAUUCGAAAGUUGGAUGUAGCGGACAUACCCGAUUACCAGAAGGCUACUAUAGAGGCAUGGAAGACUAUCAGACAUCCUAACAUCGUCAUUUUGAGGGAGAUAUUCGCAUCGAAUGCAUUCAAUAAUGUGCCUGCGCUGUUUUUUGCUUACGAUUAUUACCCAGAUUCAGAAACGCUCGAACAUCGAUUCUGUCUGGGAUAUCAUCGACACCCGUCUUCUAGAGGUACUCAUCCCCCCCGAUGAACAAUUCCUGUGGGCCAUUCUCAUUCAGCUGUUGUCAGCGCUUUACACUAUCCAUGAGAUGGGUCUUCUUGUUCAGAGGCUUUUUCAUCCUUCCAAAAUCAUCAUAUGCGGCUCGAGCCGCGUUCGUAUAAGCAGCACAGGCAUCGCAGACCUUUUCGACCGCCCUCGGCCCGAUGGCCAUGGCCCUUCUAAAAAAACAGCAGAUAUAUCUUAUCUUGGACAGCUCAUGCUCAAACUUGCCACCAACCUCAAUGAUGCCACUACACAAGAUCUUUUUUUGCUAUCCUCCACUUAUAGUCCCGAGUUUCACUAUGUCCUCCGACGGCUUCUUGGGUAUCCGAGAAGUGGUGACCACGCCUCUUUCUACCCUACCUUCCCUUCCCUAG